CCCAAACCCUGACCCCAAACCCUCAUCCUGACCCCAAACCCUGACCCUGACCCCAAACCCUCAUCCUGACCCCAAACCCUGACCCUAAACCCUGACCCCAAACCCUUAUCCUGACCCCAAACCCUGACCCUGACCCCAAACCCUGACCCUGACCCCAAACCCUCAUCCUGACCCCAAACCCCAAACCCUGACCCUAAACCCCUGACCCCGUGGACAGAAACACCAGGAGAAGAGUCUGAUCCACUGGAAAACAUUCCUUUAUUGAAGAAAAGGUGAUCUGGGGCUUUUCAAAAAUAUCUUAAGUUUUUACAACGGACACUAGAGCUGCACGAAAACUCAGACUGACUCCAAACUCAACACUGAUUCUGAUCCUACGAUUAUAAUAAAAAAAAAAAAACUCUUAAAUUAAAUGGUAAAACUUUCUUCUCUAUUCCCAUGUGUCCUUAGAUCUGUGGAAUCCCUCACUGGUCCAGGUCUAAACCAGGUCAAAACCAGGUCUAAACCAGAACUAAACCAGGUCUAAACCAGAACUAAACCAGGUCUAAACCAGAACUAAACCAGGUCCGUGUGUCUGUGUUCUUGUUCUGAUGCAGCUCCAGGUCAUUUUAAACACGUUCAGCAAAGGUUCAUUUCUUUAGUAUCGAUCAGGCUCAGAUGUCGACAGUCCCGGCGCCCGGACUCAUCACGACGUCGUCCUUCUCUUCUGUUAUUGUCCGUUUAUAAAUGUUUAAUGUUCUUGUGUAGAACCGGACUCGUCCUCUUCACCGUCGUUAUGAUUGAAAACUAAGAAAAACUUGUACCUGUGUUUUAAUGUUGAUGAUCUGAAAAGGACCAAUGUUUCUAAAUGUCAAUAAAAGAUGCUCUGGAAUAUCUGUGGUUUUCCAAAAGAUGAAA